GAUGAACGCUAGCGACAGGCCUAACACAUGCAAGUCGAGGGGCAGCGGGGAUGAAGCUUGCUUCAUCUGCCGGCGACCGGCGCACGGGUGAGUAACGCGUAUCCAACCUUCCCCUUACUCAGGAAUAGCCCGUUGAAAGACGGAUUAAUGCCUGAUGUUCUCUGUUUCCGGCAUCGGUAAUAGAGCAAAGAUUCAUCGGUAAGGGAUGGGGAUGCGUAUGAUUAGCUUGUUGGCGGGGUAACGGCCCACCAAGGCAACGAUCAUUAGGGGUUCUGAGAGGAAGGUCCCCCACACUGGAACUGAGACACGGUCCAGACUCCUACGGGAGGCAGCAGUGAGGAAUAUUGGUCAAUGGGCGGAAGACUGAACCAGCCAAGUAGCGUGAAGGAUGAAGGUUCUAUGGAUUGUAAACUUCUUUUAUACGGGAAUAAAACCUCCCACGUGUGGGAGCUUGUAUGUACCGUAUGAAUAAGCAUCGGCUAACUCCGUGCCAGCAGCCGACGG
rnacentral:rRNA from 1 species